CUCCACUUUGGGAGGAAAACCCUGACGCAAAAGAUGUGGUUCACGUUGAAACAGAAAAAGACUUCAGAAAGUUGCUGAAGAAAGAAGAGAAGCCAGUGCUCAUGAUGUUUUAUGCUCCCUGGUGUGGAGUUUGUAAAAGAAUGCAGCCCAUUUUUCAGCAAGCAGCCACUGAGGCAAA